UCCCAAAGUUUGAAGUUGACCAGGGAUGUGCUAGCACGUCUCCCUAUUUCACCUCCUUCACUUUCAGCAUGAUCAUUUUUCAAUCAAUCAUACGAAAAUGCCAUUUUUGAAAUAUCUAGUUUGUCGAUUAUUUUCAGACAUUUUGCUUUUUCGUUUUAACCCUUACCUCACGGGGUGGGACUGGAUUAUCUGAAAUAUUUUUAUUAAUUCAAAAUCUCAUACAGACUGUGGUCAUCCCGGAAGAAACAUCCUCAAAUAGGAAUUUAGACGGGGUCCCAAAUGAAGCGUCUCCGAGUGUGUAUGAUACUGUACUACAUUAGGGAGCAAGUCGGCGCUGGGUAAUCUUCUGUCCCUGAGACCCGCAGUUUCCCGUGCUGCCAGAAGCCGCCGAGGAGGAUAUCGCCUCUCUUGAACCGCCGGCAUGGAGGACAUUUACCAUGGCAACGACUAAUGCAGUAUAGAUGCAAGGACUGAGCCUUGUCCGCUGCUGCAAUAACACGGGAUGCAUUGAAGUCAGGUGAAAUGCCAUUGCGGCUGAUGUCACCACCAAGGAGUGCAUUUCAUAUCGUCGCUCUAUCGAGGGUAUAGUGUGUUUGCCCAUUGCUACAUCUAUCUAAUCUCCAGCUCUAAAAAAAAAAAAAAAAAAAAAAAAAAAAAACUAUAGAACCACUUCACACUUUCUAUUUUUUUUUUCUCACAGUCAGCAAGGUUGUCCUUUUUUUUUUUUUUGUUUGUUUCCUGUAUCAACCCAUAAUACCCUAUCGACAUAAUCCCUCAGGGUCAAAUGGAAUUCUUGCAUGUCCUCCCCUGAGAACUUGUCAAAUGUGGGUCCUAAAAUCUGUUUCCUACUCCUUCAAACGCUGGAUUACAACUGGACCUCUUUGAAAAGUCACUCCUAAAUGGAGAUUACUGUUUUUUCAAGGGAAGCAAGGCUCAGCGUGGUUUAUUGUCAAAGGUUCAGGUUACAUUAUUGUACCUGUCGGUACAUCUGAUUUGUGUUACUGGCAUCCAUCUGGACAUAAACAAAAGAGCACAAAACAGAAGACAAUUGAUUUGCAAAACAAAUGAUUCAUCAACAACAGAACAUAUUUAGGUUCGAAGUGAUUGAAUAAACUUGGGAGAGCCGUGUCAUAUUUAAAAAAAUAUAUUUAUAUAUCAGAGGCAGAGGGAUUGAAGUUCUGUUUUACCUUGCUUUUCAAAAAAGCUGAAACUUGUAGGAAUGUCUGUCCAAAACAAACAUUCCU